GUAAAAUAUUAUAUUAUAUUAUAUUAUAUUAUAUUAUAUUAUAUUAUAUUAUAUUAAUUAUAUUAUAUUAUAUUAUAUUAUAUUAUAUUAUAUUAUAUUAUUACACAAUUUGGCAGGUAUUAGAAGCAUCUGAAAUCAGAAUGUUGCGAUUUUUCAAUUUCAAUUUUUUAUUUUUAUUUUUAUUUGCUACAAUUUGCUAAAGUGAUACAACAGUCAUUAAACUAGCAUAGUUAUGUAAAAUAUAUUAUAUUAGCCAUGUAAUAAUUGAUUUAGAUGUUACCACAUGACGGACACUUUUAGGUUAUUGAUCAAUAUUUUUUUACUGUGAACACUUUGCUCUUUUUACAUUUCAGUAUUUAUAAACCUGUCCCCAUCAGAAAGCUUUCAGUAUUUAGAACGUUUAUAAAACCAGCUGAUCAUAACAAUUUAGGUGAUUCCACGUUUUACUAUCCCUGUGUGGACAUUUGGUCCCAAUAAUUUAGGAAAAACCUGACCCCCAUAUACGCUAGGACAGAUUAGCACAGUCAUUUUUGCCUUUCAAGCAGAGUGGGGUGAACAGGUGCUUCGGCUGCUAUAUCUAAGCAAACAGGGCGAGCAACAAAUCUCAAGAGAUGACAGCUCAAGAAGAUCUCAGAUGACAUGCCACAAGAAAUCAACCUCAUAAGUCACAUACUUCGGUAUUCAGACUGUAUCGUCGUACACUUUAGCACAACGUCAAAAUGUUCAUAUUAACGCCUCAAAAUAAUCGCACACGUAGUCUAUUCGUGAACAAGCACAUGUGCUAAUCUGACACAGCCGACUGCGCCGAGACGUGACAUGAUCCUGCAGCUGUUAGAAAGAGAAAGCUUCUGUCUCCGUUGAAACCUACAUGAAGAGUCUGACUCACGACUGCCUCCAAAAUUUCCCAGAGAUUCCUGAGAAUUCAGUUCUAAGCAUGUCUGCCAGUGAGAUCCUUCCAAGACGACCAUCGUCUCAGACAACACUGCUAGUCCCUCUCAUCUUCCUCUUUUCAGUAAGAGGGUUUAAAUUUGCUGAGCUUUCAAUAAUACAGAUUUGUCAGAAUCCUUGAAGACAGCAUUUCAAAGGCAACGGCCACACACACAUAUGCAGGGAUCUAUCAGGCAUUCCCCGUGUGUAACAGGUCUUCUCUGAAAUCUUCAGGCCUGUAUUUAAGAGGGAUUAAAUCAGUCAGUCAGAUCCAAAUGGCUCCUCUCUGUGUGGAAUGCAACAAAAGAGCACCUCAAAUAGUUAUAGAAAGAACUCAGCUCACAGUCGCAUGCAGGGAUGAGUUCUGCACAAACUGCUGAGCCAGACACCAGCCGGACACACUAAAAGGGCGAUACGCUUUUGAAGGGACAGAGAAAUUGGCUGAGGGACUGCGCCAUGCAACAUGCUGUGGUUAUUUGGCCUCUAAUGAGGAGUGAUGGUUGACACAUCACUUUCUGCUUCCAUCGAGCGUGUACUUUAAAAACACAGCUCUCAAGGUUGGAGACUCAGUGUGGCAGGUUGCAGAUGACCUGUAUGAUGCACAGAGUUUAAUGUCUAAUCUUUUACGUAUCUGUCAGUGGAAUUGCUAGUUAUCAUCAUUGUUCAUCAUGCUACUAUAGCUGUGGGACCUUCAUUAUUAUGGCAUAAAGACAGGUGUAUAUAAGAUCACUAGGCCCAGACAGAAUCUGAAUCUGAUCUGAAUCUGAAGUUUUUAGGCAUUUGGCUUCAUAAUGAAUAUGGAGCAGAGAAGAAAUCUAGUUUAACAUGAAAACUCUCGUUUAAAAUGUAAGUUAUAUAACCUUUGCUUUCAGUAAAGAUUUGAAAGCAAAAAGACGUGUAACAGAACCAGAAUUAUACUGAAAGGCAUUUUUCUUACUAAAAAAAUUCAAUCAGACGUAUUAGAUUGUGUACAACAGGUUUUUCAGCAAAGUUUUGACCAUGUUGAUAAUUUAGAGGCCUUAGAAAUUAAUUUAUAGGGUUAACUUAAUAGAUCUGAAAAAUGACUUUCAUGUCAUUGACCCAUUUUUGUGCAGAUUUUGUGGCAAUGGAUUUAAACAUAUAAUGACUUAAAUAUAGCUGAGAGUUUCAUACUGCACUCUUAUUAGUAGGUCAAAGCAUUGUUGAAUUAAUUUAAAAUAUUUCAUAAUCGCAUACAGUGGGAAGCACCAAAUGUGCAUAAUUUUAUGAUUGAUAGGUUCUCGAAUUCUGUAUGAAUUAAAUCUGUGAGUUCUGUGUGUGCCCAUCGAUCACUGUCCAAUAAUGUUGCAGCAGAAGCUGCUGGAAACAAGUGAUACAGUAUUGCCACAUCUUGCCACAUAUUCCCCUCAAAUCAUGUCCCUCAGAUGUCAGUAAGAUGUCUUGUUUGGUUCACAUCUAGUCAGGCUCAGAAACUUUCUGUCAGCAUGUUGCAAAACAAGGAGAGAGUUUGACCUCAGCCAGCUGUGCCCAAAAAGCUGAUGUGAGCCAUAUGACCAGCAGCAGAGAAACCAUCAGAAUUGAUGUGCUUUCAUAACCGCUUCAUAAUUAACAAACAUAUGGCGCUCCUGUCAAACAUUUAGAAAUAGAGUGUGUUCUGUUUUUUCAUGUUCUAUCAUGCGACUCAGACUCAGAUAUUUUCAGCUAUUCAUUGUCACAGUCUUAUUGUAUGUAUAGACCCUAAGUGUGUUUACUGGGAUUUUAAUUAGGGUAAUAAAUUAGGCUUUUAAUAAUAAAUUGUGACA
ensembl:lncRNA